AAAGGUUGAGGCAUUUAGGAAAGUUGUAUGCUUGCCACCAUCAUGAAUACAUCCUCCCCUGGAUUUGUUGGACUCUUUGGACUUCUCGCAACACGCUAAUCUUCAUGGAUCAGACCUUCUUUCCCGAGGAAGUAGCUACGAAAGCACUAUGAUUAGCUCAGGAAUGGACUUUCGCGCAAGGUUUUAAGGAACAAACAGCCAAUCAAGCGAAGAUCUUACCUAAAAGGCUUCAGCUCCAACCCGACUAGAACACGAGAAUGACAUGUAAAACGGACGCCGCCUGGAACAAGCUAUUGAACAGAGCAGGUCUCGCCCGGAUCUUCAGGGAUUCAACAGGAACUUGCAAGCACAGAGGA
rnacentral:lncRNA from 1 species